AGUCCAUUGAGCAACUGGCCCCAGCCUCUGAUCCCACCUGCUGUCCUCACUUCAGGACCACCUGGAUUUAUUGGUGGUUAAAGGGAAGUGGCAGGAUUUCACCUUGCUCCCACCUGCCCAUUCCAUGUCUGCCUUGCCCUCCUCACCUGUGGUCCCACUGGUUCCACCACCCAGAAGAGGAGAUGCCUGUACUGAGCUCCAGGCUCAGCUCAGCUGCUCUGUCUCCUGCCUUCCUAUGGGAUGUGUAGUUAAACUUCCCAGGCCUUAUAGAACUCUCUGGAGCUGUGGUGCCCAGUGGAGGGGAAAGCUUAGCCCAAGACCACCUCCACUUGCUCCAGCCUGGUGACAGAGGGGCGGGCAGGUGAGCUGUAGCAAGAUCUUGCUUGAUGGCCAAUUGGUCUGGGCUACCCUGCACAUGGACACCUUCAACCUUCCUGGCCCAAGCCACAGACACAGUGAAGGUAUCCUCUGGACUGACCAUACCACCCCAUGUUACCUUGCCAGGCAAGCAUGUGCAGGUCCUCCAGAAGUAACUGAGCCUGUAGUUAAGAAAUUUCCUGCAUUUUCCUGAGGAAGGCACUAACUCCUUCUUGAGGUCCAGUGCUGGUGUAGAUGGGCCUGGUCUUCCUCUGGGAAUCCAGUGGAGAAGAAAGCUGCUCCUCUGGGAAUCCAGUGGGAAAAGUUUGCCUGUGGUGUUCCAAGCCUCAAAUUCUAUCCAGGUAGGAAUGCUUGGCUCCUCCCCCUGGGCAGAGUAUCUCCCAGCUGGAUGAUGGAAUUUUCUCAGCCAUGCAGUGACACUCACUGGCCCAUGAACAGAAGAUAUCUCCCUGGAAGGAGGAUGGACUGUGGAAGAUAUAAAGAAAAGCUGCCCAAUUAACAGAAGACAACUGCCCCACCUCCAACAGAUGGAAAUAGAAUACACACCCCUAGCCUAAGACACCCUCCCACAGAGCAGCCCCCCAGAAAAGCAAAGGAGUGCCAGUGGUGCCCCAGAGUGACCCCGGUGUGAUUUGAACACACAGCCUUCUGAUCUGGAGUCAGAUGCGCUGCCCUUGCGCCACGAGGCCAGGGUGGAGGGGGUCCAGGGGCCUCGGAUUGGCUGCUGGGAAUGUCCUUUCCAUGGGGACCACCCUGGGGUGUCCCUGCACCCCAGGAGCAGGGCUGUGGCUGUGGAGGGACAA